AUAGCUCGCUCUUUUUU
rnacentral:sRNA from 1 species